GGGUUAAUCCUCUAAUUGGUCCCUGUGGUUGUGUGACCGUCUGAAAUUAGUCCCUCCCGUAAAAUCUAAGUCCUCGCGUUUGAAAAAGUGUGUGUAGCAGGUCCUCGCCGGAGGGACUAAUUUCCACACACUUUUCAAACGUGAGGACUUAAAUUUUACGGGAGGGACUAAUUUCAGACGGUCACACAACCACAGGGACCAAUUAGAGGAUUAUCCC
rnacentral:pre_miRNA from 1 species